GAACGCUGGCGGCGUGCCUAAUACAUGCAAGUCGAACGCACUCUCGUUUAGAUUGAAGGAGCUUGCUCCUGAUUGAUAAACAUUUGAGUGAGUGGCGGACGGGUGAGUAACACGUGGGUAACCUGCCCUAAAGUGGGGGAUAACAUUUGGAAACAGAUGCUAAUACCGCAUAAAACCUAACACCGCAUGGUGUAGGGUUGAAAGAUGGUUUCGGCUAUCACUUUAGGAUGGACCCGCGGUGCAUUAGUUAGUUGGUGAGGUAAAGGCUUACCAAGACCGUGAUGCAUAGCCGACCUGAGAGGGUAAUCGGCCACACUGGGACUGAGACACGGCCCAGACUCCUACGGGAGGCAGCAGUAGGGAAUCUUCCACAAUGGACGAAAGUCUGAUGGAGCAACGCCGCGUGAGUGAAGAAGGUUUUCGGAUCGUAAAACUCUGUUGUUGGAGAAGAAUGUAUCUGAUAGUAACUGAUCAGGUAGUGACGGUAUCCAACCAGAAAGCCACGGCUAACUACGUG
rnacentral:rRNA from 1 species